rnacentral:lncRNA from 1 species
GUGGCCGUGGCCGCCGCCGCCGCCGCCGCCGCCGCCACCCGGGCUGCUCUAGGGGCCCGGCUUCUCUGCGCGUCCGCCUGGGGCUCACGGGGGCCCGGGGCGGCCGCUGGUUGGCUCGCGCACCGCCCUCGCCUCCAAUCCCCGGUGCCUGUCCUAAUUUCCUGAUCCAGGGAACCUGCCGCCGCCGCAGCUGUGCGCUCCCUACAGUCAUUACAGUGCCCUCCCGGCAGCCGCCAACUGAACACGCAGCGGCAGCAGUUAGCGCUGAUGCAACUCUCGCUGCUACUGCCACGGCUUCCCCACUAACCGGCCGUGCAGCUGGGGGGUACUUGCAGUUUCCAGGGGCAACAAGCAUCUCUCUACCACCCUCUCCUGCGCCCCUGAGAGAGGCUGCAGCUUUCUCUUCACCAUCCACCAUGACUGCAAGCUCCUUGAGGUCCUCACCAGAAGCAGAUGCCAGCAGCACACACUUCCUAUACAGCCUGCAGAACUGGACCUGGUUCUGUGUCCUGCUGCCCUGGUCAUCCUUGGGAUUCUGCUCCCCGCAUCCAGACUACUGUUCCAGCCAUGGCUCAAAGGGUUCCAGGUACAGCUGGGGAUACCACUCCUGAGAGCACAAACUGCCCUGAGCUUGAUGUAGAAGACUAUCAUAUGAACCAGAGAGGGUAACUGAACCCAAAGAAAUGACUCCAACAUGAAGCUAAAGACACGCCUUAAAGGAUGAGGAGGAGCAGAAAUCCCACCAGCAAGGCAAGAAAGAAGCUGUGCAUGAACAGGUGACAGUAAGAGAAAUGCUUCAUUCCCUGUUGCGAUUAUUAGCACGUGAAGCUUGUGAAACACAGAGCCCCAGCUAGAGGAUCUUGUGUUAUAAUUUUUCAAAGACUGCGCAGCAGGCACAGCAGCCAUACAGCUAAUAGAAAUCAAGUGUUAUUUCUUAAGUAUCAUGCACUUUGAUUAGCAGCUUGGGGAGCCAUUGGCUGAAUUUCUUGAAGAAACCUCUAGGAAGUCAGCCAUAACUCUAAGACUGAGGCAGCUUUCGAGUAGUGUGAUUCAUCUUCUUUAAGUAUUAGGGCCACCUAGGGUCACGCCAGCCCAGUCUACAGCAGGUAACCUGGAACUGAAAUUCUGAGACAAAAGAACUAGGAGGAAAAAUGUCCCACCUGGCUCAAGGGAGGAAGUCAAUUUAAAGGGAUGAGGAGAACACUGGCAAAAUAAUAUUUUAAAGCUAUUAACUGAUUUUCCUCUUCUGGCAGUUCCUAUUGCCUCUGACUCCUCCCCCAAGCCCACUUAGGUAUCAUUUGUUCUAUCAGGAAAAAAGAAGUUUCACCAGAGGGCAGGAAAAACAGGCUUUUGAUUUUCUAAAGUCAAGACCCUGAAGGCACUUGGGAUAGAGACACUAAGGUGAAUUGAUGCAAAGUUUCCCACCCCUUGUAAAACCUAGAGUUUUCUAGGUGUGUUGUGAGGACAGUGCUCGAGCUGGGGAGAAAAGGGGGCUGAUACAUGCUGGUGGGG